rnacentral:rRNA from 1 species
ACGCUCGACACCUACGGGAGCAGCAGUGGGGAAUAUUGCACAAUGGGGGGAAACCCUGAUGCAGCGACGCCGCGUGAGCGAAGAAGUAUCUCGGUAUGUAAAGCUCUAUCAGCAGGGAAGAAGAUGACGGUACCUGACUAAGAAGCACCGGCUAAAUACGUGCCAGCAGCCGNGGUAAUCUGAGCGGGCGUGGCGAAGGC